rnacentral:lncRNA from 1 species
AACGACACCCCCUUGCUUGAGAAGCUCUUCGACGUUGUCCCCUUCACCCACAUCCUCCACCUCGCCGCUCAGGCUGGCGUCCGCUACGCCAUGCAGAACCCCCAAUCCUACGUCACCGCCAACAUUGCUGGCUUCGUCAACCUCCUCGAGGCUGCCAAAUCCGCCAAUCCCCAACCCGCCAUAGUCUGGGCUUCAUCCAGCUCCGUCUACGGCCUCAACACCCAAAACCCUUUCUCCGAGCUCCACCGCACCGACCAACCCGCCAGCCUCUACGCCGCCACCAAGAAAGCCGGCGAGGAGAUCGCCCACACCUACAACCACAUCUACGGCCUCUCCCUCACCGGACUCCGCUUCUUCACCGUCUACGGCCCCUGGGGGAGACCCGACAUGGCUUACUUUUUCUUCACCAAGGACAUCCUCCAAGGGAAAACCAUCGACGUGUACCAGACGCAGGAGGGGAAGCAGGUGGCCCGUGACUUCACCUACAUCGACGACAUCGUUAAAGGCUGCCUGGGAGCCCUGGACACCGCCCAGAAGAGCACCGGGAGCGGCGGCAAGAAGAAGGGCCCCGCCCAGCUCAG